CCUGACAAGGUCUGGAGCCUCAGAGCGCACCUGCCCCCACUUACAAGCCCCGGCCUCGGGGAUUGGGUGGAGUGUCCCCUGCCUCCAACGGCUCCCAGAUGAGUACCCACUGUCCUGAUUUCCAUCACCAUAGAUGAGUUUGGCCUGUUUUUGAAUUUUGUAUGAGAGAAACAUACAGCAUGUUCCUCUUUUCAUGUCUGGCUUUGUCUCUUAGCAUGGCGCCCAUCAGGUCCAUCCAUGGCUGUGUAUAUCCACGUCCAUUCCUUUUCAUGGUGAAUGGGCUUCCACUGGGUGGACAUGCAAGGUCUACUGUGGACAGACAUCUUGGUUGUUUUUGGGUUUUGAUGAUUUUGAAUAAAG
rnacentral:lncRNA from 1 species